rnacentral:rRNA from 1 species
UAACACGUAGGGGGCGAGCGUUGUCCGGAUUUAUUGGGCGUAAAGGGCUCGUAGGCUGUUCAGUAAGUCAGGUGUGAAAACUCGAGGCUCAACCUCGAGACGCCACUUGAUACUGCUGUGACUUGAGUUCGGUAGAGGAGUGUGGAAUUCCUAGUGUAGCGGUGAAAUGCGCAGAUAUUAGGAGGAACACCAACGGCGAAGGCAGCACUCUGGGCCGAUACUGACGCUGAGGAGCGAAAGCGUGGGGAGCAAACAGGAUUAGAUACCCUGGUAGUCCACGCCGUAAACGUUGGGCACUAGAUGUGGGAUCCAGUCAACGGAUUCCGUGUCGCAGCUAACGCAUUAAGCGCCCCGCCUGGGGAGUACGGCCGCAAGGCUA